ensembl:lncRNA
AUGACAAUGCAUGCCACCCUGCCCCUGCUGCCAAAAUUCCCAGCGCCUCCGUGGUCCCAGGAUGGCCCCAUGCACAUCCCUCAACCACCACCACUCCCCAGCUGGCCCCAAGCCUGCAGCUGUAACAGCUUUUGCCAUCCCGUUAUCACUCUGGUGAUUAGUAACGCCCUGAUUUCCUGCUCCAGCCCGUCCCCACCUCACCUCCGGGGGGGGUCGUGCUCUGCUGGCGGCUCCCGAGCAGGAGGGGGGUCCUCCAGGGCUGCCAUGGGGAUGCCAGGGAGGCUGGGGGCGGCGGGCAGGCGGCUGGGGGCUGGGGGGCUGCCUGGCCCCAGGGCUGGUCCCGGAGGCUCCUGGGGAAGGAGAAACCUGGCGUUAAUGGGACUGGGAAGAGGGGCUGUGGUCACAGAGCAUAUCAUGCCCACAGUUCAGCACCUGGUGGGGGGGGAAAUACGUCCUGCUGCAGCCAAGGGAGCAAAUGCUGAACCAGUACCCUGGAAAUCCCCCUCCCGAGGUGAGGGGCUCCUCUGCACCCAGGGACGACGCUCUUACCUUGACAAACCCUGGCAGAGACCAGGCUGGUGGGAGCUGGGGGGGUGGGAGGACGGGGGGGAUCGCCCGCGGCCCCGUCCCCUCUGCCUGGCGUCUCAGCAUCCCCACCUCUGCCUGCAGCUGGGCCAGGUCCUCUGCGUGCUGCUGGGCCGCCAGCGAGCCUGGGGAUGGUGGCUCGUCACCGUGGUGCUCAUCUGGCUGCCAGCCCAGAGGCAGCAGGGUGCUGUGGGGAGGCGGUCAGUGGGUGCCCCGUCUCCCAGUCACCUACUGGCAUCAGCUCGCCUCGCCUUCCGGACCUUCAGUGCCAGGAGCUCGUCCUCCAGCCGCUGGUUCUCCAGCUCCACGGCCAGCAGCACCGCGUCAAGGUCCUGCGUGCUGGCCCUGGGGCGCUCUGAUGGCACGGCCAGGGGCGCCUCAGUGGGGACAGGGGGCCACGACCCCAGGCUGGGAUCUGCACUGGGGCUGCCACUUACCCGUCCGCCGCGCUGCCCUUUUCUCCAGCGCCGUGGCCUCCACCUGGAGGUCGAGCAGCUGAGCCAGGAUGGCCACAUCAUGACCACCACCGCGCAGGUAGGACAGCAUCAGGGCCCUGCCAUGGCACCAGUGUCAGCUGCAGGGCGUUGGGGGGGGGGGGGGGGGGGGGGGGGUGGGCUCUGCUGGGCACCUGGGUGCCCACCCACCCUCGGCUCUCACCUGGCCUCAGCAGCGAGCGGCCCAGCGGGCGGCAGGAGGGCGCUGAGGUGUAGGGCAGUCCUGGGAUGGAAAUGGGCCAUCUGGGGGCAAAGGCCCUUUUUUGGGGAGCAGCCUGGGCACUUCCCCCGGAGGGGUGCUGAGCCCUGCUCGCCCUUGCUGGGACUCACCCUCUGUGUGGGUGUCUGGCCUCACCCCGCAGUGCCUCUGGGGAUCGCCUGGGCUUCGGCCGCAGCUGCUCAUCCGCCAGCACCGCCAGGCGCCGGCACAGCCCUGCGGGGUGGCAAAACGUGUUACUCCCCCCCACCCCAGGAACCACAGCCCCAUCACCCCAAAACCUCUGCCAGUGCCUACCCGCUCUCUGCUGCUCCAGCUGCUGGGUCCUCGCCCGGAUUUCAGCCACGUGCUGCUUGUGGGCUUCCAGCAGCUCCGGUGCCCGCAGGUGCCCCUGUGGCAGGGCCGGCCGCUGGCUGGGCUCUCCCUGCGGCACAGGGGGAGGCGGUGGGCAGGAGGCACGAGCCCCACAGGGCUGGGGACAAAGCCUGCACCCCGCUGUGGGUGAGUGGAGCUGGUGAGGUGGGCGUACCUGCUUUGUCAGCCCGCUGGCAGCAGGCUGCUGGGUGCUGUGGCCACCAGGCUCGGUGGCACGGAGCAGGGCCCUCUCGCGGGGUGUGA